ACUGUGAAGAGUUCUCUACUUGCUGGAAGCACCAGGGAGGAAAGAAUCAUUUAUGUAAGGAUGAAAGUUCUAGAUUUCUCAUGGGAAAGUGGUUGAUGUCUUUGAUAACUUUCUCGUGGAUGCGGACGUGUAAGACGCAGACUUCUGAGGAAAACAACAUCCUUCAACUCAGAGUCACUGUUUACCUGAGGCUGGUGUUUAGCAUGGAUGGCCAUUGAACAUCCUGAGGGGUGGAAGCCUGGCCUGGACAAGCCUCAGGCUGUUGAGACACUCUGAUGGGAUGUCCCUCCCAUCUGAUCACUUCACCAUCCCUUCGCCAUCCUUUCUUGACCUUGUUCCUGCUCUGAAAUGUCUGGAAUGCUUGGUGGGAAUGAAGCAGCUGGUCAUUAGGCAAUAAUGCCUCUAUCACAUAAGAGAGGAACCCUUUGUGGACCGAUUUCCAUGCAACACUUGGGGGCAUCUCAGCGGAGUUAAGAAUGUAAGAGCGGUGCGACUACAAUAAACAGAGCUUCAGGA
rnacentral:lncRNA from 1 species